rnacentral:rRNA from 1 species
UACGUAGGGUGCGAGCGUUAAUCGGAUUUACUGGGCGUAAAGCGUGCGCAGGCGGUUUGUUAAGCGAGAUGUGAAAGCCCCGGGCUCAACCUGGGAACCGCAUUUCGAACUGGCAAACUAGAGUCUUGUAGAGGGGGGUGGAAUUCCUGGUGUAGCAGUGAAAUGCGUAGAUAUCGGGAGGAACACCAGUAGCGAAGGCGGCCAUCUGGCUGGUAACUGACGCUGAGGUGCGAGAGCGUGGGGAGCAAACAGG